rnacentral:misc_RNA from 1 species
UCCGGUUUGUCACCGGCAGUCACCUUAGAGUGCCCAACUGAAUGCUGGCAACUAAGAUCAAGGGUUGCGCUCGUUGCGGGACUUAACCCAACAUCUCACGACACGAGCUGACGACAACCAUGCACCACCUGUGAACCGGCCCCAAAGGGGAAACCACAUUUCCAGGCGUUUCCGGUUCAUGUCAAGCCUUGGUAAGGUUCUUCGCGUUGCAUCGAAUUAAUCCGCAUGCUCCGCCGCUUGUGCGGGCCCCCGUCAAUUCCUUUGAGUUUUAGCCUUGCGGCCGUACUCCCCAGGCAGGGCGCUUAAUGCGUUAGCUACGGCACGGAUCCCGUGGAAGGAAACCCACACCUAGCGCCCACCGUUUACGGCGUGGACUAC